GACGAACGCUGGCGGCGUGCUUAACACAUGCAAGUCGAACGGAAAGGCCCUGCUUUUGUGGGGUGCUCGAGUGGCGAACGGGUGAGUAACACGUGAGUAACCUGCCCUUGACUUUGGGAUAACUUCAGGAAACUGGGGCUAAUACCGGAUAGGAGCUCCUGCUGCAUGGUGGGGGUUGGAAAGUUUCGGCGGUUGGGGAUGGACUCGCGGCUUAUCAGCUUGUUGGUGGGGUAGUGGCUUACCAAGGCUUUGAAGGGUAGCCGGCCUGAGAGGGUGACCGGCCACAUUGGGACUGAGAGACGGAGCAGACGGCUACGGGAGGCAGCAGUGGGGAAUAUUGCACAGUGGGCGGAAGCCUGAUGCAGCAACGCCGCGUGCGGGAUGACGGCCUGCGGGUUGUAAACCGCUUUCGCCUGUGACGAAGCGUGAGUGACGGUAAUGGGUAAAGAAGCACCGGCUAACUACGUG
rnacentral:rRNA from 1 species